AUAAUAUUAGUUAUACUGUUCUCUCUAGCUAAAUAGUAGUUUUGUAAGUUGUUACAGAUAAACAACUCUAUGAAAUUAUUUAUUUUUCCAUGAUGACUUUUCACUUACCUACUCUGAAAUUCUUUGAUUACACAGAGGCUCUUUCUGAAGUUCUACAGCAACUUUUAUGUCGCUAUUUGUCAAUAAUAUUAGUGCAGUAAUAUGAUUACCCUUGCUUUACAGAUCUUGUGGUUGCCAAUAUCACCAUGGAGUACACUCACCCAUAAAACAAUAUAUUUCCCUGUCUGGUGAAAAUCGUCAUGAAGUCGUCUAUUAUUCUACAACAUAACAUUUUUUGUUUGUUCGUAAAUAAAGUUAUGUGGAAUAAAAAAAACUAUUUCAUUUACCAAUCCAACUAUUUAGUACUUACCGAAUAAUUAUCUAAAUCUAAGUAAAGAUAAUAUUGAAAUCAUUAUUUAUGAAAACAAAGAAUUCACAUUCAAAACAAAAAAAAUAUAAGUUGUGCACACCUACUUAUAUUCUGCCUCCUUUAUCUGCAAUGCAGAAUGACUGUACAGUUUCCUUUCGUACUACACAAGAGAUGUGCAACGUAGUUAGAGGCACCUCAGUAAAGCAAAUAUUAUGUAGGUAGGUAGGUAAUAAAAGUCCGAAGUACAAGUAAAUUAAACGUAGAUAUUUAUUGGGAAGUACCACAUGUGCAUUUCUGCCUAUCCAUUUGAAAAAUAAAAGGUGUAAUGUAUUUUAAAUUUUUAUUUUAUGUCUUUAGUAGGUACAUAAAAAUUUACAUAAUAGUCCAGUCAAAUAAGGCAAAAUUAGGUAAGAAUCUCGGAAUGCGAGAUACCCAGCUGUAAUUUUGUAUAUACUUGUAUAUUGACCCCUAAAACUUGUCUCAAAACCUACAUAUGGUAGGGUGUAAGCAACCCUUAAAAUUCAGGGUCAAAGGGCCCAAAAAUAGUUUUUUUGCGGUUUUUUCGAAAUAUCUCAUUUCCUAUGGGUUUUUGGUAGUUGUAUUCUAUAGCAAUAUUGUGAAAUACAAAAUUUUCUACAACUUUUGUUUAACCUUUUGAACGCCACGGACGUUUAUAGACGUCUAACGAAAUCGUGCCAAACACGCCACCGACGUCUAUAGACGUCAAGAAAACGACAUUUUUUAAAUACAAAAUAAAUAUACUAAAUUAAG